AAGUAACUCGUUAUCGUUUCCGAUGAGUGUUUGGACAAAUGGCAAGGAACUAGCGAGGGUCACAUCAUACAUGACUAAUAGUGUACAUGAAGUGGUUUGUUAUCACGACCUUCAUAAAAUACGCCUUUUGAAACAUUAACCAGCUUAAUUAUGCAAGCAUGUUUUAUUCACCUGCGCAAACGUGCACAUGCAUUCCUAUUUAUUUGGCCACACACUGGUGGGGACCAUUCCAUGCCAGAAUUACAACGCAAGAAAACAAAGUUACUUCCAAAGAGUGGAAGGACUAUAAACUUCAGAACUGUUGCAACGAAAACCAAAGAGCAACAGAACAGGUGCAUACUUGCUUAAUUAUCAAAAUCUGAAACACUGUUUUUAAUGCGUUUUAAAAUGAAAUUAGUAAUAAAUCUCAA